rnacentral:rRNA from 1 species
CACUUAGAUGUUCUGGGCCGCACGCGCGCUACACUGAUGCAUUCAACGAGUUUCUUCCUGGUCCGAGAGGAAUGGGUAACCUUUUGAAAGUGCAUCGUGAUAGGGAUAGACUAUUGCAAUUAUUGGUCUUCAACGAGGAAUUCCUAGUAGACGUAGUUCAUCAGACUGCAUCGAUUACGUCCCUGCCCUUUGUACACACCGCCCGUCGCUCCUACCGAUUGAAUGCUCAGGUGAGCCAUUCGGACUUUCAGCAUGCUGGUUUCCAGUUUUGAUGAAGGAAAGUCUUGCGAACCUUAUCAUUUAGAGGAAGGAGAAGUCGUAACA